rnacentral:rRNA from 1 species
UUAUGGAAGCGUGCUUCGGUCGGUAAAAUCAUGGAAGCUUACAUCAUUCUCCAUAAUAUGAUUAUCGAAGAUGAGGGGGAAAUGGUUCACAUCCCUUUAGACUUGAAUGAGAAUCCUGGAACAUAUUUUGCUUUACCGCCGGAGGUCAAUCGUGGUCCCAACAUUUGCUUUACAGAUGUGCUACAAAGGAAUUCCUCAAUUCGUGCACGGCCAACACAUCUGAAACUCAAGCAGGAUUUGGUCGAGCAUAUUUGGCAGAAAUUUGGGGAUGAGUGA